UAUAUAUAUAUAUAUAUAUAUAUAUAUAUAUAUAUAUAUAUAAAACCAUGUAGACCCAUAAACUCAGAAGUAACACACCAUAGAUGAGAACAUGAAUCAAAACAAGUAGCACAAUUGCCAUAUAACCCAAUAGGAGACGAAUAUUUCUAGCACAUGUUUUGUAAUUUGAGUUGGGAUGGGUUUUGAGUUCAUGUUCAAUUGUCAUUGCUAUUGCAUAGUUGAUUAGAGCAACCACCAACAUCUUCUGUUUUCCGAGGGAAGCCAAUAUUUGAGGGGUAGAUAAUAUUUCAUUGCGCGUCCUGUUAUAUAUAUAUAUAUAUAUGGCACGAUGAAAUAUUAUCUACCCUUCAAAUAUUGGCUUCCCUCGGAAAACUGCUGGGAAAUGAAGAUGUUGGUGGUUGCUCUGAUCAACUAUGCAAUCCAUCCCAACUCAAAUUACAAAACAUGUGCUAGAAAUAUUCGUCUCCUAUUGGGUUAUAUGGCAAUUGUGCUACUUGUUUUGAUUCAUGUUCUCAUCUAUGGUGUGUUACUUCUGAGUUUAUGGGUCUACAUGGUUAUACGAGUAGCAAGCAAUCCAUAUCAAGACUUGUAUCUAUUAGUAGGUGAAGAUUUGCAGCACUCAAAGGAGCUAGCUGAAGAUGCAAUCCAAAGGCUAUUUGGCAGGCUGGAGUGAGCCACGGAAUCAAUCGUAUAGUUAGUAUCGAGUUGUAGAAAUAAUUUCGAUGCUCAUCUCCUUCAGCACAACAAAAUACCCAUCUCAUUCCCAGUAUAUGUUUGAGAAUAGCAUUUGCUAUUGAAUCCAUACUCAAAGCUUGUAAAUCAAAUUGUGUUGAUCUUAGUCCCAAGCUUCAGAUGGUUUCUUGACCUGCAUAUUUAAAUGGGUAGCUUGGAACUCAUAUCAAGAUCUUUACCAUUUGCUACUCCAAGCAUUUAAUGAGUUGAAGAGGCUCUCAAGAAAUGCAUUUGAAGCAUUGAGGAGGGAGGCCAAUUUGAGGUGGGGAAACAGGAACUGAAUCAUCAAUCUUCUUCAUCUGUUAAAUAUUGUUUAGUCUUAAUUAUUGCUUAUUCAUUAAUAUUAUGUAAAUGACCUUGUUCAUAUUCCUUGCUGCUACUUUAUUGCUUAUUGCUACUCUGACCAAAUUGGUGUUUAAUUUCUUUGUAUUUCUUGUCCAGCACUGUCCAUGGAUUCAACAAAGUUAAGCUUCUUGUUGUAACUUAAA